rnacentral:tRNA from 1 species
AAGGGUACAGCUCAGUGGUAGAGUGUGUGCUUAGCAUGCAUGAGUUCCUGGGUUCAAUCCCCACUACCUCCA